rnacentral:rRNA from 1 species
GAAACUUACCAGGCCAGGACAAUUAAAGGAUCGACAGAUUGAUAGCUCUCUCUCGAUAAAUUGGGUGGUGGUGCAUGGCCGUUCUUAGUUGGUGGAGUGAUUUGUCUGGUUAAUUCCGAUAACGAACGAGACUCCGACCAAUUAUUGAUGUAGCCGCAUAAAGAUCAACGAUAGCUUAGGCGUGUCAACGAUCGCGGUUGCAAAAAGAUAUGGGAUUAGCUAUAGUAAAUAGCACGAGAUAGAGCAAUAA